rnacentral:lncRNA from 1 species
CUUCACUUAAUGAGAUUUGAUGUGUGUGUGCAGCCUUAAUACUUCCCUCCAUGCAAAACAAUAAACACACUCACCAACCUCUGUACUCUCUACCCCACAUGCUCCAUUCUGUUCAACCCACAAGAAGCCACAGGUCUUCCUGUCACUAAAGCCUAUUGUGUGCUUUUAGAAUUUUGUAUGAACACAAUCAGAUUGGAGCUUCCAUUUGGCAACUCGUUCUCUGGUCUGAAGCACUUCCAUUAAUGUUCAUGGCAGGCACAUACAGGAACCAUCCUGUGCAUACUUCAAGGGAUGAAGUGGUCCAGGAAAGAUGACUAGCUUCGUUCAUUUGUCACAAGACCCACACUCAACACCCAAGACUCACAGCUUUCUCCUCUUGGAGGCUCCGUACCAGUGGUUCUCAACCUGCGUGCUCACAACAUAGGAAACAAUCAUUUGGAGUUGAUUUAUAUUCUGCAUGCCAGCAUCUUCUUGGGAGUGUGGAGGCUACUCUAGCUGUAGUACUUCCUGGCAUUCCUAAAGUUGGGGUUUCCAGUGAGGCAAGGAAACUUGAUGAAAACUCGCCUGUCAGAGGUCAGACAGAUCCUGAGCUAUUCUGUGACAUAACAACCUCAGUCAGGUCCUGGAAGUGAGACACUCUCAGGUCAAGUGCACGAGGGACAGCAGCCUGGACGGAUGUAGACUGGAGGGUGUAUGGCUGUCUGUCCCUUCCUACUGCUUGCCUGCGUCCCCACUCACACCAUUUACACUUCACUUACCACCAGAUAAGUGGUUCAUGUUGUGAUUACAGCAGUCAGGAAGCUGAGGCAGGGGGUUUGUGGUCUUUUAUUCCCCCAUUACCUCAUUCUUCGACUAAAAAAAAGAAAAUGGUGAUGUAGCUACAAGAACCCCGAUGGGAUCCCUGGACCUUACCAGUGCCAGCACAGGAGUUUUGAUAAAUGUAAAACCUCCUUAACCAGCAAGUAGCUCAAACAAGACGAAAAUCUCAAUGCCACAUAGAACAGCCCACUGUGUCCCUCUCUAGUUGCCACCCGCCUCCAUUCCAGAGCGGCUGCUCUGGUUUCAUCACCCAGGGCUCCAGAACUUGAUGGUUGUUUGUCUACCACAGCAUCUGUUCGCAUCCGGAUAAUCUCAAUCCACGCUAUGGUAUUUCAAGAGAUGCUUUCAUUUGUAUCCUUCCUUGGCAUUGGGUAGUCUCCGGUGUCACUUGCUGAACAGCCUGUCUCCCAUUCAUUUGCUCAGAACAGUUGUCCAAAAUCAUGCUCUUCAAGACACACAGGGGUGGGCCUAGGCCCUAUCCCAAAGGAGCCGAUAGACUCUGAUGAGCCCCUAUGGAAGGCCUCACCCUCCAGGGGGAGCAGAAAAGAUAUGUGACAGAUAAGGUUUUAUUUGGGGGUGGGGAUGGUAGGGGAGGAUGGGAGGGAGAAGGAAACUGG